UAGUCCACGCUGUAAACGAUGAGUACUAGUCACUGCGGGUAUUGAUCCCUGCGGUGACGUAGCUAACGCAUUAAGUACUCCGCCUGGGGACUACGGUCGCAAGACUAAAACUCAAAGGAAUUGACGGGGGCCCGCACAAGCGGUGGAUUAUGUGGUUUAAUUCGAAGCAACGCGCAAAACCUUACCUAGGCUUGAAAUCCCGGGAAGACCUAAGAGAUUAGGUUGUGCCCUUCGGGGAAUCCGGUGACAGGCGCUGCAUGGCUGUCGUCAGCUCGUGUUGUGAAAUGUUGGGUUAAGUCUCGCAACGAGCGCAACCCUUGUCAUUAGUUGCCAGCAUUAAGUUGGGCACUCUAAUGAGACUGCCUGGGUUAACCAGGAGGAAGGUGGGGAUGACGUCAAGUCCUCAUGGCCCUUAUGUCUAGGGCUACACACGUAAUACAAUGGUUAGUACUGAGGGACGCAAACCUGCGAAGGGAAGCAAAUCUCAAAAAACUAUACCUCAGUUCGGAUUGGAGUCUGCAACUCG
rnacentral:rRNA from 1 species